GGGGGAGGCAAAUCCCAAAAAUAACGUCCCAGUUCGGACUGUAGUCUGCAACCCGACUACACGAAGCUGGAAUCGCUAGUAAUCGCGAAUCAGAAUGUCGCGGUGAAUACGUUCCCGGGUCUUGUACACACCGCCCGUCACACCAUGGGAGUCGGGAAUGCCCGAAGUCAGUGACCCAACCUAUAGGAGGGAGCUGCCGAAGGCAGGUCUGAUAACUGGGGUGAAGUCGUAACAAGGUACC
rnacentral:rRNA from 1 species